UGGAAGUAAAAGUCGUAACAAGGUCUCCGUUGGUGAACCAGCGGAGGGAUCAUUACCGAGUUUUCAACUCCCAAACCCUUAUGUGAACCUACCUAUCGUUGCUUCGGCGGACUCGCCCCAGCCGGACGCGGACUGGACCAGCGGCCGCCGGGGACCAUCAAACUCUUGUAUUAUCAGCAUCUUCUGAAUACGCCGCAAGGCAAAACAAAUAAAUUAAAACUUUCAACAACGGAUCUCUUGGCUCUGGCAUCGAUGAAGAACGCAGCGAAAUGCGAUAAGUAAUGUGAAUUGCAGAAUCCAGUGAAUCAUCGAAUCUUUGAACGCACAUUGCGCCCGCCAGCAUUCUGGCGGGCAUGCCUGUUCGAGCGUCAUUUCAACCCUCGACCUCCCUUUGGGGAAGUCGGCGUUGGGGACCGGCAGCACACCGCCGGCCCUGAAAUGGAGUGGCGGCCCGUCCGCGGCGACCUCUGCGUAGUAAACCAACUCGCACCGGAACCCCGACGUGGCCACGCCGUAAAACACCCAACUUCUGAACGUUGACCUCGAAUCAGGUAGGACUACCCGCUGAACUUAAGCAUAUCAAUAAGCGGAGGAA
rnacentral:misc_RNA from 1 species